rnacentral:rRNA from 1 species
GAUGAACGCUGGCGGCGUGCCUAAUACAUGCAAGUCGAGCGAACAGACGAGGAGCUUGCUCCUCUGACGUUAGCGGCGGACGGGUGAGUAACACGUGGAUAACCUACCUAUAAGACUGGGAUAACUUCGGGAAACCGGAGCUAAUACCGGAUAAUAUAUUGAACCGCAUGGUUCAAUAGUGACAGACGGUUUUGCUGUCACUUAUAGAUGGAUCCGCGCCGCAUUAGCUAGUUGGUAAGGUAACGGCUUACCAAGGCAACGAUGCGUAGCCGACCUGAGAGGGUGAUCGGCCACACUGGAACUGAGACACGGUCCAGACGCCUACGGGAGGCAGCAGUAGGGAAUCGUCCGCAAUGGGCGAAAGCCUGACGGAGCAACGACGCGUGAGUGAUGAAGGUCUUCGGAUAGUAAAACUCUGUUAUUAGGGAAGAACAAAUGUGUAAGUAACUAUGCACGUCUUGACGGUACCUAAUCAGAAAGCCACGGCUAACUACGUG